GACGAACGCUGGCGGCGUGCUUAACACAUGCAAGUCGAACGGAAAGGCCCUGCAUUUGUGGGGUGCUCGAGCGGCGAACGGGCGAGUAACACGUGAGUAACCUGCCCUUGACUUUGGGAUAACUUCUGGAAACUGGGGCAAAUACCGGAUAGGAGCUUCUGCUGCACGGUGGGGGGUGGAAAGUUUCGGCGGUUGGGGAUGGGCUCGCGGCUUAUCAGCUUGUUGGUGGGGUAGUGGCUUACCAAGGCUUUGACGGGUAGCCGGCCUGGGAGGGUGACCAGCCACAUUGGGACUGCGGUACGGCCCAGACUCCUACGGGAGGCAGCAGUGGGGAAUAUUGCGCAAUGGGCGGAAGCCUGUUGCAGCAACGCCGCGUGCGGGAUGACGGCCUUCGGGUUGUAAACCGCUUUCGCCUGUGACGAAGCGUGAGUGACGGUAAUGGGUAAAGAAGCACCGGCUAACUACGUG
rnacentral:rRNA from 1 species